rnacentral:tRNA from 1 species
AAAGGGAGACCUAAUUCAGGUAGGAGACGAAAAAAAAGUAGUCGCUACCAAGAAUCAAUCCCAAAAGGUCGGAGCGAGGCGAAAUUGGCUUUCAAACUAGGUUCUGGGUUCACACAAGACCUGAAUCAGGAACAAGGGCUAUUAGCUCAGGUGGUUAGAGCGCACCCCUGAUAAGGGUGAGGUCCCUGGUUCGAGUCCAGGAUGGCCCACCUGCACAGGUGGCAAAAACAAAGAAAAAAAGCGAGGAAUCAGCACCUGAUCUUACUUAUAUAGUAAGAGAGAAUGCUGGCUCUGAGUUCAGAGUCCAGAGGAACCUUGAAAACUGCAUAGAGCUAGGUGAAAAAGCCAAAAAAGAAGACCGCAAG